rnacentral:rRNA from 1 species
AAUUUUCUAUAGGCAAAUCCGUAGAGAAUGCUGAAGUCCAACAGUACCAGGAGGCUCCGGCCGAAUGGAUAGAGAAUGUAAGCAGACUUCCGAGAAAAUCUUCUAAGCAUAUUGAUACGGUACCCGUACCGCAAACCGACACAGGUAGUCAAGGAGAGAAUCCUGAGGUGCUCGAGUGAGUCAUGGCUAAGGAACUAGGCAAAUUAAACCUGUAACUUCGGGAAAAGGGUUGCCUCUCUUUAGCAAUAAAGAAGGUCGCAGAGAAAUGGCCCAGGCGACUGUUUAACAAAAACACAUGGCUAUGCGAAAUCGUAAGAUGAAGUAUAUGGCCUGACACCUGCCCGGUGCUGGAAGGUUAAGGGGGGAAGUUAGUCGCAAGGCGAAGCUUUGAACUGAAGCCCCAGCAAACGGCGGCCGUAACUAUAACGGUCCUAAGGCAGCGAAAUUCCUUGUCGGGUAAGUUCCGACCUGCACGAAUGGUGUAACGAUCUGGGCACUGUCUCAGCCAUGAGCUCGGUGAAAUUGUAGUCACGGUGAAGAUGCCGUGUACCCGUCACGGGACGGAAAGACCCCAUGCACCUUUACUAUAGCUUCGCAUUGACAUUGGGUAGAUGAUGUGUAGGAUAGGUGGGAGGCGUUGAUCCUGUGCCGCUAGGUAUAGGGGAGCCAACGGUGAAAUACCACCCUUUAUUUAUCUGAUGUCUAAUCCGCAAGACCUGCGGAGACAGUGCGUGGUGGGUAGUUUGACUGGGGUGGUCGCCUCCGAAAGUGUAUCGGAGGCUUUCAAAGGUAUGCUCAAUACGCUUGGUAACCGUAUGUGGAGUGCAAUAGCAUAAGCAUGCUUGACUGUGAGACUGACAGGUCGAGCAGGGUCGAAAGACGGAUAUAGUGAUCCGGUGGUUCUGUAUGGAAGGGCCAUCGCUCAAAGGAUAAAAGGUACGCUGGAUAACAGGCUGAUCUCCCCCAAGAGCUCACAUCGACGGGGAGGUUUGGCACCUCGAUGUCGGCUCGUCACAUCCUGGGGCUGGAGAAGGUCCCAAGGGUUAGGCUGUUCGCCUAUUAAAGUGGCACGCGAGCUGGGUUCAGAACGUCGUGAGACAGUUCGGUCCCUAUCUGUGAUGGGCGUAGGAAGUUUGAGAGGAUCUGACCUUAGUACGAGAGGACCGGGUUGGACCAACCGCUGGUGUACCGGUUGUGGCGUCAGCUGCAUCGCCGGGUAGCUACGUUGGGACGAGAUAAGCGCUGAAAGCAUCUAAGCGCGAAACUCACCUCAAGAUGAGACUUCCAUUAAGGGACGUCAGAGACUAUGACGUUGAUAGGCUGCAGGUGUAAAGGCAGAAAUGUCAAAGCUGAGCAGUACUAAUUACCC